rnacentral:rRNA from 1 species
UACGUAGGGGGCAAGCGUUGUCCGGAAUCAUUGGGCGUAAAGAGCGUGUAGGCGGCUCGGUAAGUCCGCUGUGAAAUCCCCGGGCUCAACCUGGGAAUUGCGAUGGAGACUGCAAGGCUAGAAUCUGGCAGAGGGGGGUAGAAUUCCACGUGUAGCAGUGAAAUGCGUAGAGAUGUGGAGGAAUACCGAUGGCGAAGGCAGCCCCCUGGGUCGAUACUGACACUCAUGCACGAAAGCGUGGGGAGCAAACAGG